UCUCUUAUUAAUAAAAAAAAAAUAAGAUUACAAAGUCAAUAUUUAUUACAUUAACUGUAAUUGGCUUGAGAAUAUACUACUUUCAUGUAAAGACUAUUGUAGAUCUCAACUCCUCCAUUUCUUUGCUUUAAUUUUUCAGAUCUGCAAGAAUCGAUGAAAUAUAUAUAUUUAUUUGCUUUAUUUAUUUGCACAUAUAUAAACUUGGGAAUGUACGAGAAGUAAUAUAUGGUGAUUGAUUAAUUACCUGAACAAUUACAGUAACAUAUAUCAAUGGCGUAAUCCCCAAAUGGCAAGACAUUAAUGUUAAUGACUGAGAUGAAGCUUCUUUAUUUCGCUUAGCAUUUUGGAUAUGAAUCUUUUUGUUUGUCAGUGUUAUAUUUGUAAACUUGAGAAAUCAAGUAACUAAAUUAUUUAUGGUAAUUCGAGGUUACCAGGCCUCCUUUAGUCCUUUAAGUCUCAGUAAUCGAAUAA
rnacentral:lncRNA from 1 species